GGGUCUGUCCAUCGGUCGGGCUUCACGGUCCGUACUGGUGAGAUGGGUUCCUACCUUCUGAAUAACCGGCAUGCCAUUCAGUUGGUGCGCCGGGGAAGCAGAGCUAUUACCUUGAAAAAAUUAGAGUGCUUAAAGCAGGCUAGUGCUUGAAUAGAUUAGCAUGGAAUAAUAAAAUAGGACGUGCGGUUCUAUUUUGUUGGUUUCUAGAGUCGCCGUA
rnacentral:rRNA from 1 species